UACGUAGGGGGCAAGCGUUGUCCGGAAUUAUUGGGCGUAAAGGGCGCGUAGGCGGCUUGGUAAGUUUGAUGUGAAAUCCCAUGGCUCAACCAUGGAACUGCAUCUCAUACUGCCGAGCUAGAGUCUGGGAGAGGGUAGUGGAAUUCCCGGUGUAGUGGUGAAAUGCGUAGAUAUCGGGAGGAACACCAGUGGCGAAGGCGACUACCUGGCCUGUUCUUGACGCUGAGGCGCGAAAGCUAGGGGAGCAAACGGG
rnacentral:rRNA from 1 species